GACAUUGAGAUGGAGUUAAUCGGGGAUGAUGAGAGGACAGUAUGGAAAUCAGUGGUAUCAAAAGAUGAAUACAGCAAAGACUCUCAUCCAAUAGCAUUAACAGUCCCUGACAUUC